ACUCAAACUUUUACCAUGGAAGACACAAACACCAAGACUAUGGUCCCCAAGGAUGAGAUCCAGAUGUGUUGUGACACCCAGUCACACCCUCCCGGUUACGGCUGGCAGCCCAGUCUGCUCUACAACCAGCACUUUGGCCUUCCUCCCAUCAUGGACUUCAGAGAUCUAACCUGGAUGGAGGGCAUUUUUAGGAAGCUACACACCUCGUCAUGGCCUGGAUACUCCCAAGCACCUGGAUUUGCCCAAAUUAGCCCAAAGGUGCACAGAGAGGUAGGUGGAGGCGUUUCUGAGGUGUCCACCCAGCAGAACAGGUGGACCGUGACCCUGGAUGUAAAUCAUUUUGCUCCGUCUGACAUCACGGUCAGAACUCAGGGUGGCUUCCUGGAAAUUGAAGGAAAACAUAAUGAGAGGCAAGAUGAACAUGGCUACAUCUCGAGAUUUUUCCUCAGGAAAUACAAGCUUCCUGCUGGAAUUGAAGUUCAGAGUAUACGCACAUGCGUCACUGGAGAUGGAGUUCUUACCACUGAAGCUGCGUUGCCAGACAUUGCAACACCGGCUGAUGUUACAAUCCCAGUCCAGGUGGAGACAGAGGCACUGUUUUCAAAGGACCAAAAACAAGAUGGCCACCAGCCUGGGCAGACGGAGAUAGCAGAGGAAGUAAUUUCUACUCCUGCAGAAAAGCCUGAAGGUGACACUUCAGGCACUGAUGAAAUGAUUCAACAGCCAAGCGGCCUAACUGAUGCUCCAGAAAGUGUGGAGGGACAGGAAGCCAUCGCAAGCCAGCAAGAUGGAGAAAUGAGAGAGGAACACAAAGUAGACGUAGCUGAUUCAGCUGCAGCCAAAGAAGAGGUGCUGGAUUCUAAAACCGAGGAUCCUCAAGCUCCCCAAGUUCCCCAAGAUCCAGAAACAGUGACGUCUGAGAUUGAGUCUGAGAUCCAAGCAAAGAAGAGAAAGAACAAAUCCAGAAGGCAGAGGUGGAAGAAGGCCUGCUGAGCCGUGAAGCAGAGGGCCAGCUUCCUAGUGCUCAGGAGGAAAUCCCGUUUAAGAUCAUCAAACAGGCUGAAGAGCAGGUGGAACAUGUCAAGUAGAUGAAGACGACUGCUUGGAAAGAUUGCCUUGUUUCAGCUGAUUUAUGAGUUUAGUGAUCAUUAGUUAUCUGAGAACCAGUUUGCUGUAACAUGUAACUUUGAAGCGCUAAAUAAAACCAAAGCACAUA